CUGAGGCCAGGUCUAGUGAAAGUAGGGGGCGAGCACACCUAUGUAGUUACAAAGUUACUCAUUAACUUGUCCUUCACAACACGAUUGAGGCGAACGCACCCCUUUCGGCCUCCAUUUUAUAGCAAAGGUGAAAAGAAACGUUCAGUGACAAUGCUGCUUCAAUGUGAGCUAUAAGGAAGAGGGUCAUAUCCGGACCUGAGUUUCAGGUACAUAUAGACCAGGCUGACCAGGAAGUAGGGGAACCAUGGGGUCCUGGGGCCCCGGUCUGUGUGUGGUUUUGUGUUUCUGGGGAACAGUUAGUUGGAACACACUUCACGGUCACAUUGUUGGCCCGUGUACUGUCAAUACUGGCACGGCAUCAUUUAACUGCAGUUGGAGGAAACUGGCCCAUAUUCCAACAGAGAUAUGG